rnacentral:rRNA from 1 species
AUACGGAGGGUCCAAGCGUUAUCCGGAAUCAUUGGGUUUAAAGGGUCCGCAGGCGGUCAAUUAAGUCAGAGGUGAAAGCCCAUCGCUCAACGAUGGAACUGCCUUUGAUACUGGUUGACUUGAGUUAUACGGAAGUAGAUAGAAUAAGUAGUGUAGCGGUGAAAUGCAUAGAUAUUACUUAGAAUACCGAUUGCGAAGGCAGUCUACUACGUAUAUACUGACGCUGAUGGACGAAAGCGUGGGUAGCGAACAGGAUUAGAAACCCUAGUAGUCC